rnacentral:lncRNA from 1 species
AUAUGUAUCAAAAAAAGAAAAAAAAAGACAUACAUAUAAAAAUAAAUAUUUUAUGAGGGUAUACAUGUAAAUAUCAAUUUGGAAAGGAUAUUCAAGCAAAUUUCAAUAUUUAAGAGGGAACAUAUGCAAAAAAAAACUAAUAAAAUAUUAUAUAAAAGUUUUGAUAAAAUAUCAUAUGAAUUAUAAAAGAACAAAAAUCUAAUUUAAAUUACUAUAGAGUAUGGGGGU